UCAAGGAGAUUGAAGUACACCACAAAGCACUGACAAUGUAAUUGUACACCUUAUAUUAGAUGGAUGCUAUUUCACUAACCUUUCCAUAAGAUUUUCAAAUUGAAGAGCUAAAAGGAACCAUAGGAAUCAUUUACUGGACUGUCCUCAUGGUGUGAAUGAAGCAAGGUUUGGAGAGGCUAAAUGAUCAUCCAGCAGCUCGAGAUCUUGAUAAUACAAACAAUGCUGGAAUAAAUGUAAUGAAGGAAGGAAAGGCUUCUACCUGACUUCUGGAAACAGUUUCCAUUUCAUCAUCUUUUGUGUCUGCACCUCAGUGUGAUAAUUUGAAGGCAGCAUGUGCAGGAGUUUAACUAUCUAUAUCUAUAUUCUAGACUCAAAGGGCAUGUGAAAUAAAUACCCUGUUUUACUGCCUUCAACUUUUAGCCCGCAUCCUCAUGAACCAAACAUGAAAAAAAUAAAAGAGAAGUCAAAACAGUGCA